UGUUGACCUCGGAUCAGGUAGGAAUACCCGCUGAACUUAAGCAUAUCAAUAA
rnacentral:rRNA from 2 species